CCUACGGGAGGCAGCAGUGAGGAAUAUUGGUCAAUGGACGAGAGUCUGAACCAGCCAAGUAGCGUGAAGGAUGACUGCCCUAUGGGUUGUAAACUUCUUUUAUAUGGGAAUAAAAUGUUCCACGUGUGGGAUUUUGUAUGUACCAUAUGAAUAAGGAUCGGCUAACUCCGUGCCAGCAGCCGCGGUAAUACGGAGGAUCCGAGCGUUAUCCGGUUUUAUUGGGGUUAAAGGGAGAGUAGGUGGAUUGUUAAGUCAGUUGUGAAAGUUUGCGGCUCAACCGUAAAAUUGCAGUUGAAACUGGCAGUCUUGAGUACAGUAGAGGUGGGCGGAAUGCGUGGUGUAGCGGUGAAAUGCUUAGAUAUCACGAAGAACUCCGAUUGCGAAGGCAGUUCACUGGACUGCAACUGACACUGAGGCUCGAAAGUGUGGGUAUCAAACAGGAUUAGAUACCCGGGUAGUC
rnacentral:rRNA from 1 species